rnacentral:rRNA from 1 species
GACGAACGCUGGCGGCGUGCUUAACACAUGCAAGUCGAACGGAAAGGCCCUGCUUUUGUGGGGUGCUCGAGUGGCGAACGGGUGAGUAACACGUGAGUAACCUGCCCUUGACUUUGGGAUAACUUCAGGAAACUGGGGCUAAUACCGGAUAGGAGCUCCUGCUGCAUGGUGGGGGUUGGAAAGUUUCGGCGGUUGGGGAUGGACUCGCGGCUUAUCAGCUUGUUGGUGGGGUAGUGGCUUACCAAGGCUUUGACGGGUAGCCGGCCUGAGAGGGUGACCGGCCACAUUGGGACUGAGAUACGGCCCAGACUGCUACAGGAGGCAGCAGUGGGGAAUAUUGCACAAUGGGCGGGAGCCUGAUGCAGCAACGCCGCGUGCGGGAAGACGGCCUUCGGGUUGUAAACCGCUUUCGCCUGAGACGAAGCGUGUAUGACGGUAAUGAGUAAAGAAGCACCGGCUAACUACGUG